CAGACACAUCAAAAUCUCCUUUUACUUUGGGUCCUUUCAAAUCCAGGUCAACAUCAGGUAUGGAGAUCUUGGGAGCUUUGAUAUUUAUUUCAGGCAUCUUGAACUUGGGGCCCUUUAGUUUCGCAUCUGGACCUUCGAUAUUCACAUCAGGAACAUCAACGUCCACUUUGGGUCCUGAGACAUCAAUGUCAGCCUUGGGCAGGUUCACAUCCACAUCUGGGCCCUCUCCUUUGAAGCCAGGCAUGCUGAACUUGGGCAUUUUCACCUUGGGCAUCUUCAGGUGCCAGUCUGGGCCUUGAACAUCAACAUCUGGAACAUCAAUGUCCACCUUGGGUCCUGAGACAUCAAGGUCAGCCUUGGGCAGGUUCACAUCCACAUCUGGGCCCUCUCCUUUGAAGCCAGGCAUGCUGAAUUUGGGCAUUUUCACUUUGGGCAUUUUUAGGUGCCAGUCUGGGCCUUGAACCUCCACAUCUGGGACAUCAAUGUCCAUUUUGGCACUUUUAAGUUCAACAUCAGGAACUUUAAUCUCACUUUCAACCUUU
rnacentral:lncRNA from 1 species